UCCGGAAUCGGGGCCCCCCAGCUUCUGCGGAGGGUGCAUCAGGGUGUAGGGAGGGGUGUGGGAGUGGGCGAAGCUACUGGUUGGUGCCUGGAAUCAGUGCGUUGCCCCUUUAAUUGUGUCCCCGGCCCUCGGGCGUUUCUGUCCAACGCCCACGUCAGCAAAUACCUUUUGUUUCUCUCACGUUGGGGCUACUAGUUUAAGGGCGGCAGGAAACGGGAUUCCUAGGGGCAAUACCCCAGCUCAGCCGCCGGGACUCCCCCCAGUCCAUAACCCGCGGUACCCGGAAGUACAUGAUAAUCAAAAUUGACAGAUCUGGACACCCCUGUUUUGAAUCUAUUUCGCUUAACUAGUUUUUCAGGAGCAGUCUCAUUAAUUACAGGAUGGAGAUUUCCUCUCAUCAGUCUCACCUGUUGCAACAGCUGAAUGAACAGCGAAGGCAAGAUGUGUUUUGUGACUGCAGUAUUCUAGUUGAAGGAAAGGUCUUCAAAGCACAUAGAAAUGUGCUAUUUGCAAGUAGUGGCUACUUUAAAAUGCUUCUUUCUCAGAGCUCAAAGGAGACAAGUCAACCAACCACAGCUACAUUUCAGGCAUUCUCACCUGACACUUUUACUGUUAUUCUGGACUUUGUAUAUUCAGGCAAACUUUCUCUCACGGGUCAAAAUGUCAUAGAAGUGAUGUCAGCUGCUAGUUUCCUUCAGAUGACUGAUGUCAUUAGUGUAUGUAAGACAUUCAUUAAGUCCUCCCUUGAUAUAAGUGAGAAAGAGAAGGAUCGAUAUUUCAGUCUCUCAGAUAAAGAUGCCAAUUCCAAUGGUGUAGCUGAACGUUCUUCUUCGUAUAAUGCUGGGUGGCGUGGAGAAAGCAGCCCUCCCCAAUCUCAUGUAAGUCCAGAUCAAGGAAAAUGUGCUGUGAGUGGGAAAUCUUGGAGUAAUUACAACUACUAUCCAGCGUCCCAACGGAACACUCAACAACCGUCAGCCAAACAUGAACAAAGACAAGAUUCUGUUAAAAAGUCCAGGCAUUUGGGGUUACCACAGUCUACAGAUGUUCCUCAUUACAAGUCAAGCAAACUUGAAGAGCGAACUUCUGAGCCUCCUAAUCACACGCCUCCAUCUGAAGAAAAGGUACAAAAUGAUACUGGAAUUGAUUCCCCUCGUGUGGGCCAUAAGUAUGGCAAAGGAUCUGAUGUUACACCCAGAAGUCUAUCAGGUUCCCAACAAGAACAAGAAUCUUCUCGAUCUACGUCCAAAUCGCCUAAAACUGAUGAACCUUAUUCCAAUAUGCCUUUAAUUUUAGGUGUUAUGGGCAGCUGGAAUGAAGAUGAACUGCCUAGAAUGAGAUUCAAAUGCCCAUUCUGCACACAUGUGGUAAAACGGAAAGCAGACCUAAAGCGCCAUCUCCGUUGCCAUACGGGAGAACGACCGUACCCUUGUGAAGCCUGUGGGAAAAGAUUCAGCAGGCUAGACCAUCUAAGUAGCCAUUUUCGAACAAUUCAUCAGGCAUGCAAGCUAAUCUGCCGAAAAUGCAAGCGUCACGUGACUGAUCUAACUGGACAAGUGGUACAGGAGGGAACAAGGCGCUACAGACUGUGCAAUGAGUGCCUUGCUGAAGCUGGCAUAGACAGCAUUCCCAUUGAUUUGGAAGCUGAACAACCACUUGCAUCCCCUACAGAUGGAGAUAAGAAGCCAAAAUGGCAACUGAGUGAAGGACAAAAAAAAUCUUAUGUGGAGAUUGUAGAGGAUGGAUCUGCUGAUCUGGUCAUACAACAGGUUGAUGAUAGUGAAGAUGAGGAAGAAGAAAAGGAAAUAAAGCCCAACAUUAGGUAGUUGUGAAACAACUGACCUGGCAUGUCUUAUAUUUGAAUUCUUAUAUUUCUCUCUUCCCCUGACAAGAGUCUGGUUAACACAUCUAUCAUAUUGGCUUUUUUUAAUGACCUGCUCUAAUUUGCAUGCAUUUGUGGACAGACCAUUAAGUUCACAUUCUGAACUAUGUUGCUCUGGGGUACCAGUAUGUUGCUGCACUGGAAAAGAGGACCUAGCUUGAGUUGGCAUGACGGAUGAACAACUGAUCUCUGAACUAUAAUAUAGUAAUACUUUUUAUAUAUUAGAAGAUCAACUUGAGAAAUUUUUCAGUGAUAAACAUUUAAGAUAAAUUAACUAUAGCCAAACAUGAAACUUUUAUUAUAAGACUUUCCAGAUGCUUUUUUUAAAAAAUAGAUAAGCUAUCACAUAUUGCAUAUUCCUGGGGAAAAAAGGACACUGAUUUAAUUUGGAGUGAAGAUUACAGUAGUAGACAUUUUGUUCCAAUCACCAACUUCUGAACUCUGUCACAACUGUCAAUGGAAGAGUGUUAGCUGAUGAGCUUGGAUCCUUACAGAAACAAUGUGGACGUAAAUUCUCCAUUUAAAUGCAGUUCUGCCUGGAGGCAGCAAAAUGAACUAAAUAACUUCUUGAAUUCACUUUGUGUUCUACCACAUUACAGUUUCCUGCCCUACAUCAUUUAAUUGUUUAUGUAAGCAAAUGAACGUAUAACAAAGAGGAUGGCUUUUGGAAUAGCAAGUAACAUGCUUGAUAUACUCAACUUGUCUUCCAAGUAUGGCUAAGUUAGCUCUAAAGUUUUCAGGUCAAAACUUAAAUAUAGUAUUUAGCAACAUUAGCUUUGAACAUCAUCACUUAACCUGAUCUUUUCUUUUCCUCAUCUGUAAAAUGGAGGUAGUGUAAUACAGUGGUAAGAGCACAGGAUUUCGAGUCAGAGGACCUCAGUUUAAAUUUGUCAUUGCCACUUACUACCUGCAUGACCUUGGUCAAGUCAUAUCACGUCUCUAGGCCUCAGUUUCCUCAUCUGUCAAAUAAAAGGGUUGGACUAUAUGACCUCUAAGGCUCCCUCCAGCUCUAAAUCUAUGACCUUUUAAUCAAAUAUGGGGAUGGCUUUAAUAUAAACCAAUUAGCGCUUAAUGAUUCAGUUCCACAAAUAUUUAUUAUCUAUUACGUACAAGGCACCAAUAGCUAUUGCCCUCAAGGAAGUUACAUUGUUUUGUUUUAGGUUUUUUUUUUUUGGUGAGGCAAUGAGGGUUAAGUGACUUGCCCAGGGUCACACAGCUAGUAAGUGUCAAGUGUCUGAGGCUGGAUUUGAACUCAGGUUGUCCUGACUCCAGGGCCAGUGCUCUACCUACUGUGCCACCUAGCUGCCCCAAGGAAGUUACAUUGUAUUGACAACUUAGGAGUUAUCAGAUGGUUGUUAGUUCAGUAUUAAAUAUAUUAAAACGUUAUUUUUAUAAGCCAUAGGGUCUGAAGAAUAUCUCUUCCUCUUAUAUUUUCAGCUUUUGCAUUUUUAAUUUUUAAAACUGACUGUAAAACAUUAAGAAACACUAUAUGAAAAAGCUUUAAUUGGCAUAUUGUGUAACACCAUCUCCAGAGCUUUCUUGAUGUUCAACUAUAUCUGAAACCUCAAAUUUUAAGCAAAAAAUUAUAUAUGACAUUUUGUUAGGAUUUACUAGUAUUCGUAUUUAGCCUUUCUACUGCAUUUUAUAUUUGAAAAGUGCUAUAAGAAUCAUUAUCCUUCUUCAUACACCUACAAAAUAGGGCAGUUAUUUCAUUUUAAAGAUAAGAACUGAGGCACAAGACACUGAAGUAACCUACAAAUAAGCUGGUCAGUGGCAGAAAUGGAAACUACAACCAUCAGAUUCUUGGAAUUCUAGAGUAUUAUGUACUACUUAGCUCAUUAAACUGUAGUGUUUAUUACUCUGGUUUUGUAAGGGAACUUUUACAAAGAACAUUCAUCUGUUUUAAAGCACUGUAUGGAUGUACCAUAUGCAAAAUAAAUAUUGUUCAUAUAAAGCA